AUUGAACGCUGGCGGCAGGCUUAACACAUGCAAGUCGAGCGGAGAUGAGGUGCUUGCACCUUAUCUUAGCGGCGGACGGGUGAGUAAUGCUUAGGAAUCUGCCUAUUAGUGGGGGACAACAUUCCGAAAGGAAUGCUAAUACCGCAUACGUCCUACGGGAGAAAGCAGGGGAUCUUCGGACCUUGCGCUAAUAGAUGAGCCUAAGUCGGAUUAGCUAGUUGGUGGGGUAAAGGCCUACCAAGGCGACGAUCUGUAGCGGGUCUGAGAGGAUGAUCCGCCACCCUGGGACUGAGACACGGCCCAGUCCCCUACGGGGGGCAGCAGUGGGGAAAAUUGGACAAUGGGGGAAACCCUGAUCCAGCCAUGCCGCGUGUGUAAAGAAGGCCUUAUGGUUGUAAAGCACUUUAAGCGAGGAGGAGGCUACUGAGACUAAUACUCUUGGAUAGUGGACGUUACUCGCAGAAUAAGCACCGGCUAACUCUGUGCCAGCAGCCGCCGUAAGAC
rnacentral:rRNA from 1 species